UGGGUUUGACAUCGCCGGAAAUCCUUCAGAGAUGGGGGGUCCCUUCGGGGGUCGGUGACAGGUGGUGCAUGGCUGUCGUCAGCUCGUGUCGUGAGAUGUUGGGUUAAGUCCCGCAACGAGCGCAACCCUUGUCCUAUGUUGCCAGCGGGUUAUGCCGGGGACUCAUGGGAGACUGCCGGGGUCAACUCGGAGGAAGGUGGGGAUGACGUGUAACCGAAUCU
rnacentral:misc_RNA from 1 species